rnacentral:rRNA from 1 species
UACAGAGGUCCCAAGCGUUGUUCGGAUUCACUGGGCGUAAAGGGUGCGUAGGUGGCUGGGUAAGUUUGAUGUGAAAUCUCCGGGCUCAACCCGGAAAAUGCAUUGAAUACUAUCCAGCUAGAGGUUUGGAGGGGGGACUGGAAUUCUUGGUGUAGCAGUGAAAUGCGUAGAUAUCAAGAGGAACACCAGUGGCGAAGGCGAGUCCCUGGACAAAUCCCGACACUGAGGCACGAAAGCUAGGGGAGCAAACAGG